rnacentral:misc_RNA from 1 species
AAAAAAAAAAAAAAAAAAAGCCCAGCCCAGAUUUAUGAGAUUUGAACGUGAAUCCAACUUGACCUAAUAUGGGAACUGAUUAACCUGCAACAUAUGGUUUACUAAUUCAAUUUGCUGGUUUUGGUUCCUGCAACUUCAAAACCAAAUAUGUUGGUUUGGUUGAGUCCAAUACAUGCAACCUGGCUGACCCAUUCCAUGUAUACCUCUUGAAAGAAUUACACAUUGAGUUAUGAAUGAUUAAUCAAUUUUGGAGGAAGCUUAUGCUAUUAGAUGUUCUGGUUGCUAUCGUAGAUUUUUGUAAAGCUUCUAGUACAGUAAUACUUCAUUUGGUUAUUAGGAAUGAGGGAACAUGAUUCCUUUUCUGGUCUCUAGUGCUUGGCUCCCCAUAUAGGAAGGGGUGAGCAAUUGGUCGGUUCAGUUCAAAACUGACCCAAACUGACGAAACUGAAUAGAUUGAACCCUUAAAAAAAAAAAAAAACCGAACUGAAACCGAUUUUAAAAGAAUGAAACUGAAAAGGUAAUUCGGUUUGGUUCUAUGGAAUCAAUAAUUGCAACACAUGAGUAAUUAUCCAAUCAACAAAACAGAGAAUGUCAUCAGCAAUCAAAACAGAAAAAAAAUCAAAACAGAGUAAUGUCAUCAACAAUCAAAAUUAUAAAUUAAAUUUCUUUAAUUUUAAACUACAAAAGAACAUGCCAAAACUCCACUUUCUUUAAAGGGCACAGAUGCUUUUUACUAAACAAUUUGCAUAUGCAAGUCUAUAAGGAUGAGGGAAUCUGAUUCUUUUAAGUUCUGGAUGAAGAGAAAUACCAAACCUGCAAAGAUGACAACUCAUAUGAAGACCUCCAAGAUGGGAUAAAAGAUGAGGGACGCUGUCUACUGGCGUUGCUGUUGGCAGUCGAUGACUUGAUGGUGAAGAUUAGGGGUUAGCAUCUCCAUCGGUCUCUUUGACAAUUGAGAGCUUCUGUGACAGUGAGAAAGGAGGCUGGAUUCAUAGGUGAGCCAAACUGCAAGUGUUACUGUGUUGAUUUUGAGGAAUAGAGCAUGGAGUCAUUGGGUUUUAGAAGAAAUUGGUGGGUUUUGGUUGUUGGGAGGAGAGAAUCAGAGAAAUGCACGGAAGGGGUGGGCUUUUUCAUCUGGCUGGACAUGGGACGUGGGUGGAUUUGUUUGAGUGUAAAGAGAUGGCAGAGUGGUCCUUUACCCUAAUACAAAACGCAGCACUUUUGAUAUUUCGGUUCGGUUUGGGAUUUCUAAAUUUUUUUUAACCAAAACCAAAUCAAAGUGAAUAGACCAAAAAUUUUAAAAGUAAAAACUGAACCGAACUGAAUUUCCAAACAAAACUGAACUGCAUUUUCGAAUUUAAUGGGUUCGGUUGGUUUUUUUGGUUUGAACUGAGUUUUGCUCUCCCCUAUAUAUAGGAGUAAAAUUCAGGUAUUAAGCCUUUUGAUUCCAGUUUUCUUCAUUCUAGGUUACUAAGCACUUGGGGAAUAAUAUAAGCUCUAUGUAAAAGUUCAAUCAAUUGACAGUGCCCUAUAAAUGUUGAUUUCUCUUUCCAUACUUUAUGCUUUGAGCAACCUUUUACACUAUCUAUUUCAUAUCCUCAGUUUUGAAUACAAUUCAAUAAUACAAUUCUCAAAAAUUGUGGUCAUAUCAUGAAUUUAUUUUGGACAUUUCUCUCAUCUUAUCAUGCUUAGUAUUUUUUUCAAAAGAAGCUGCAAAAUUAUGUGGUUGAAAUAAGUAUGACCCAAGGUGUAAAGGGUACCUAGAGCCUUGGUGAAUCCUCUUGAGGAAUGUGAGGUGCACAUUUACUAAAAUGUGCAUAAAAUUCUCUCAACUUCCCUCUACAUGUGUAUAUGUUUUGUGGCAGUGUAGUCUGUCUAGAUAGGGAGUGUAGUCUACAUAUCUUCUUCUUUCCUUUUUUAAUAAAUUCAUCUUGUGAGGAAGUUUUUUAACAUGAUUCUUUUUAAAGAAAGGGGAAAAGAUAAUCAGUUAACCUCAGUUUUAUAGGUCUAAGAUCUUAUGAAAAUGCUGAUGGAAGCAAGAGCUAGCUUUACUGCAACUUAUCCUCCUUCCCUGAUUUGUGGCCUUAGGGAAAUAAUACAUAUGCAACUAGUAUUGUCAGGGUGAGCAAAAACUGAAUUUGAAGUGAAAUUUCCAAGUGAUUGGCUUCCAAAGAGGACCGUGUAACUGUAAUGACAACUGCAGUUCGGUGAAGGUGCCCUCCACCAUGUGUUCAACUGCUACAGCGUGUUCUUUAAGCUUUAUUCUUUAGGCACUGGUGUUCUUUGAUUGUUUAUCUUAAUUCUCCUUUAUUAUUUAUAGUCUUGUUAUUUGGUUUUCUUUUUCCUUUUCUUUUUACUAAAGGUGUACCUUUCCUUUUGUAUA